AAAGUGAAGAUUCCUGACCUUUUCCAGGUUUUCCGGCGGAAUCCGAGGAGCUGUUGGAGCGGGCGGUGGAGCUGCUGCGGAGCUGCUGCCGCGAUUCCGGCUCCCAGCAGGGAUUCCGCUACAGCCAGGCCAUCCUGGUGGAGAACGAACUCUUCCGGAGCGAGCUGCGAGCCUUUGCCCGCGCCAAGGCGGCGGCCGGGUACAGCCCCGAGGAGCUGCGCGAGAGCUUCGCCUUCCUCCUGUUCGAGCGCGAGGACGAGGCCAGGGCGGUGUGCCAGCGCGGGCUCCGCGUCAACAGCAGCUCCCUGCGAUCCCUGGGAGAUCCCGCC